AUGAUCUUUAAUGAAGUCUCAAGGGCUCAUCAGAUAAGCAGGCCCCUGAAGAUGGACCUUGCUGCCCCACGCCCACGGCAGAAGGGGUGCUCUGGAGAAGCCAGAGACGUGACAAGCUCCCAAAAUAACUCCCUCCUCAAGGUCAUUGGAAGACCACGAAAAUACCAUCCUGGUCACCCCACUGAAGUGGUGGGUGAACACCAGUUCUCACCCUCGAGGACAAGGGUGCAUCCGCAUGUUGGCAGGGCCACGUUGUGACCUGCCUGGGUCUCAGACACAUGUGCCUUCAUGGGUUUAUACCUCCAAAAAAUAUUUUUUACAUUAUAUUUUGUGACUGCAUUGUUAUAAAGACAAAGAAAAUACAAAGUUUAUUCACUGUUCUAUAUUCAUUGUUGUUAUAUCUGUCAUCUAAUUUUAAGGUACAUUAAAAAUGUACCUGGAAAAAGAAAAAGGGGCUGGGGAUUUAGCUCAGUGGUUCGGUGGCCUGCCUUACAAGCGCA
rnacentral:lncRNA from 1 species